AUUGAACGCCGGCGGCAUGCCUUACACAUGCAAGUCGAACGGCAGCGGGGGAGACGCUUGCUUUUCCUGCCGGCGAGUGGCGAACGGGUGAGUAAUACAUCGGAACGUGCCCUGUAGUGGGGCAUAACUAGUCGAAAGAUUAGCUAAUACCGCAUACGACCUGAGGGUGAAAGUGGGGGACCGCAAGGCCUCAUGCUAUAGGUGCGGCCGAUGUCGGAUUAGCUAGUUGGGGGGGUAAAGGCCUACACAGGGGACGAUCAGUAGCUGGUGUGAGAGGACGAUCAGCCACACUGGGGCUGAGACACGGCCCAGAAUCCUACGGGAGGCAGCAGUGGGGAAUUUUGGACAAUGGGCGAAAGCCUGAUCCAGCAAUGCCGCGUGUGUGAAGAAGGCCUUCGGGUUGUAAAGCACUUUUGUCCGGAAAGAAAUGGCUCUGGUUAAUACCUGGGGUCGAUGACGGUAUCGGAAGAAUAAGGACCGGCUAACUACGUGCCAGCAGCCGCCGUAAUAC
rnacentral:rRNA from 1 species